AUACAGAGGUGGCGAGCGUUACUCGGAUUUAUUGGGUGUAAAGGGCAAGUAGGCGUCUUGACAAGUUAGGGGUGAAAUCCUGCAGCUUAACUGCAGAACUGCUCUUAAAACUGUUGAGAUUGAGACUGGGAGAGGAAAGCGGAAUUCUCGGUGUAAGAGUGAAAUCUGUAGAUAUCGAGAGGAACACCAGUGGCGAAGGCGGCUUUCUGGCCCAGUACUGACGCUGAAUUGCGAAAGCUAGGGGAGC
rnacentral:rRNA from 1 species